rnacentral:tRNA from 1 species
AGGUGCUUAGGAUAAUUAAGACCAAGAGCCUUCAAAGCCCUUAGUGGGAGUUAAAGUCUCUCAGCCCCUG